AUAAUACUCCCUCCGUCCGGAAAUACUUGUCAUCAAAAUGAAUAAAAAGAGAUGUAUCUAGACGUAUUUUAGUUUUAGAUACAUUCGUUUUUGUCCAUUUUAAUGACAAGUAUUUUCGGACGGAGGGAGUAGAUG
rfam:Triticum aestivum genome assembly, contig: Triticum_aestivum_CS42_TGACv1_scaffold_433806_5DL